AUACGGAGGGUGCAAGCGUUACACGGAAUCACUGGGCGUAAAGCGCGCGCAGGCGGGCUGAUAAGUUGGAUGUGAAAGCCUACGGCUCAACCGUAGAACUGCAUCCAAAACUGUCAGUCUAGAGUCUGGGAGGGGAAGAUGGAAUUAGUUGUGUAGGGGUAAAAUCCGUAGAGAUAACUAGGAAUACCAAAAGCGAAGGCGAUCUUCUGGAACAGUACUGACGCUGAGGCGCGAAAGCGUGGGGAGCAAACAGGAUUAGAAACCCCAGUAGUCC
rnacentral:rRNA from 1 species